CGGAUGAUUGUAGUUUCGAUCUGCCCCACAUUUGCAUCCCCGUCGCGUCAUGUUGUCUGAAAAAUGCAGAAGCACGAGCAUUGAUCACGUGUCUGAAAAAUUCGCGUUUCAUCAUCGGAUAUGUCUAUUUUCGCGCAGAACGAGCAAGCUAGAGAGCAAUGCAACGCGACGUCGUCGUAGUUGAAGGUAUGAUUUCGAGGAUGUAGAUAACCAAUUAAUCGAUCUUGUAGCUAGACAUAAGGCGUGAAACCAGUUACAAUAUCGAAUCUGUGAAAAGAG